CUACGGGGUGCUGCAGUGGGGAAUAUUGCACAAUGGGCGCAAGCCUGAUGCAGCCAUGCCGCGUGUAUGAAGAAGGCCUUCGGGUUGUAAAGUACUUUCAGCGGGGAGGAAGGGAGUAAAGUUAAUACCUUUGCUCAUUGACGUUACCCGCAGAAGAAGCACCGGCUAACUCCGUGCCAGCAGCCGCGGUAAUACGGAGGGUGCAAGCGUUAAUCGGAAUUACUGGGCGUAAAGCGCACGCAGGCGGUUUGUUAAGUCAGAUGUGAAAUCCCCGGGCUCAACCUGGGAGCUGCAUCUGAUACUGGCAAGCUUGAGUGUCGUAGAGGGGGGUAGAAUGCCAGGUGUAGCGGUGAAAUGCGUAGAGAUCUGGAGGAAUACCGGUGGCGAAGGCGGCCCCCUGGACGAAGACUGACGCUCAGGUGCGAAAGCGUGGGGAGCAAACAGGAUUAGAUACCCGCGUAGUC
rnacentral:rRNA from 1 species